rnacentral:lncRNA from 1 species
GAUGCUCCCAGAACCUGCGCAGCUAGCGGAUCCCGUCCGACAGCUGUGCUGGGCGCCCGAGAGAGCGCACGGCUCAGCCCACCCCGUCCCUUCCCCGGCCAGGAGCCACUCACAAACUCAAAGAUGAAGAGCAAGUCGGGCAAGGUGGUGAAGACCGAGAAGCCACUGGGCAGGGUGCUGCCCCCCGUCGCCGCUGCGGGGGCCAUGACGGCGUGCUGGCGUCGGCCUUGGGACGGGACGAGCGCCGCUCAGACUCCGCGCAGACCUCUCGCUGGCUCCGCGGAGCCCAGUGGCCUGGGCGCCCCCGCGCGCGGGUUAAGAGCAGGGGAGCCCGGGGCAGAAGAGGGAGGAGCCCCGGCCGCCGCCCAACCCCGCCCCCCGCCCCACGCCCCGGGAGACCCGGCCCGAGCGCCGCGGGCACCGCCCUGAACCUCUUCGAGGCCCCGCUGCGGGCGUCCAGAGCUGGGGACUGUGGGUCUGACUCCUGCGUUCCAGCCGUGGGUGCCACCUCUUGCGGGAAGCAGGGCAAAACCACUUUGGUCAGGCGCUCCUCGUGCCUUUCUCCCUUCGUAGGUGACCAGCAUCUCGUAAGAAUGAUAACCAUCAGUAACCGGGACCCCAAACCUUCUCAUCAAGGCACCUCUCGGGUCACCAUUACUUUAACUUUGAAUUUGGGUCUCCUUCAUUUUUCCGCUGGAUGCGUUAAUGUGCGCGACCCACAGCUCCAGGCGGCGGUUUCCUGGCGGAACUGGACCACCGCCACAGGCUGGGGGUCUGCAGUGGGGGAUGGGACCGGCCGCGGCCGCCGGCCCCUUCCGCGUCCACUGAGCCGGCGCUGGUUCGGCGCUGGGAUCCUGCACCGGGCCUCUCUGCUUGGUGCUGCGCGUCUGCCUGAGAGUAGGAGGUUGCUCCCAGCUGUGCCGGCCCCAGCAGAAGGCUGCUGGUGGUGGUGCUGGGGCAGGUCGGCCUUGAAUCCAUGCGACAGGAAGGGACGUUACCAGAAGAGAUUCAUCGCUUUCUCUUGGUCUGGGCAGCCCGGGCCUUUUGAGGGUGGGACCGCUGCUACCCCCACCCCCAGGUUCUUUGCCUGCCUGUUGACUGCCGGUGUUUCAUGUUUUGUUUCUCUGUUUCACUAUUUUUUAUUUUUUGCCUUAAAAAAAAAAGUAUUACCAUGCAGCAGUUGCCCAUUUAUUUUAAUUUACUAUUAAUAGUGUGAUUGCUGUGUUUCCUCCUACAAACACUGAAGCCUGAAAUCCGCCCGAGUCCGGAUUCUCGCCUGCCAAAAGGGAAUUGGCCCCGCAACCUCCAGCUUAGACUCCCAACUCUUCUUUCUUUCCAUUGGCAGCUGCUGCAGGCAGGACAAGGGGCUCCCCUUCUCUCCAGUGGGGCCUUCACCUCUCCCUGCUGCACAAUUCUUCCUCCUUCCCAGUCCCUAGGGAGAGAAGUAUAUUCGUGGACGCAUUUUCCAAAGCAAAAGUAGCACGCCCAUCAGCUGGCCAUUCUAAGUGCCUCUGGAAAGGGGCCAGGCAUUUGAAAUGAGAAAACCCCACUGUGCCUCUGUGAGCUGCCAGCCCGGACGGCUGCAACCAAGGUGCCAUUGUGUCGGGUCCCCAGGGCAGCAUCUCUCUGGACACAAUGGGCUGUGGGACUUUAGGAGCCCAGGUCCUCAUCCACCUUGGGCAUCUCAUAGCUCGUUAGUUGGACCUGCUGGCCUCUGAGAGGACAUCUUCUUCCUCCCCAGGAGACCGUCCUGGGAACAAGCCUUAAAGCAAGGUGGCCACAGGAAGCCGCAGCCUGAAGAGAGGAGGCACCGCACCGUGAAUUCCUAUACAGCAGAAGAUGGGACGGCCACCUGAGCCAACCCCACAGCUGACAGCUGAGCCUCCAGCGAAACCCAAGGCUGACACAACGUGAGUGCCUCACUGUGAGCUCUUACAAGGGGUCACUGUGGCCUUGCGAUGCUAGGGAAGGAAAGCAAAUUCAAAAAGCUUCCAGGGUUGUCAUCAGCAAAUAAAGUCUCUCAGCCCCAGUGGAAGCCCAGCCUUCAUGGGAACCCAGCUCUCAUGGGCUCACUCUCUCUACGGCUCACCAGACUGCCUGGUGCACUGACGGGGUCUCAUUAGCCCUUAGUCACCUGCUGAGGUGGCUCUAAAGGUUUCACCUCCGGUGGCCUCUCGGGCCUGUGAGGGAGGGCUGGAGCCCGCCCAGCUCAGAAGUAUGACAGGGCAGGCUCACCACUGGCACGUUCUGCUUGGGGUCAGGCCUGGUUCAGGGGUCCUGAGGGAUGGCUUAAAGCCCAGAGGCUCCAUUUCAUCGCUGGGAAGCGAACGUGGUUCACAGAAGUCCUGCCCAUGCAUCUGGACCUGCUGCACUAAUUCAGGGACUCGGUUCUUUCUGCUCUUUCUGUGUUGGGGAGGAAGGGGUCGGGAGUACAGGUGUGCGCUGCCACACCUGUCUAAUUUUUGUAUUUUUUUUUUUUGUAGAGACAGUGUUUUGCCAUGUUGCCCAGGCUGGUCUCAAACUCCUAGGCUCAAGCGAUGCUCCCUUCUUGGCUUCCCAAAGUGCUGGGAUUAUACGUGUGAGCCACCAUGCCAGGCGGCGGGUGUUUGUUCCUUUUUUUUUUUUUUUUAUUUUUUUUUGGAGACAGUCUCUCUCUGUUGCCUAGGCUGGAGUACAGAGAUGUGAUCUCUGCUCACUGCAACCUCUACUUCCCGGGUUCAAGCGAUUCUCCUGCUUCAGACUCAGUAGCUGGGAUUACAGGCACGCGCCACCACACCCGGCUAAUUUUUGUAUUUUUAAUAGAGACAGGGUUUCACAGUUGGCCAGGCUGGUCUUGAACUCCUGACUUCAAGUGAUCCGCCCACCUUGGCCUCCCAAAGUGCUGGGAUUACAGGUGCGAGCCCGCACCUGGCCCUGGUGGUGCUUCUUAACAAAGGUCAGUGGAUUUCUGGACUUUCUGAGUAACUUGUGGACAAAUGAAGAGAGUCCUCAGGGACUUUCUGAGCUUGGCUAAAUUUGAUAUUCACAAAUGAGAAGUUUGGUACCAGAGUUUUCUGAGGCUCCAAUUCAGGAUUUCCCUAAGAAAUCUGUCUGGAAAGCAGUGUCUAGCUUCUGGGCCUGAACCCAGGCACAUACGCGAGUGUGCACACACACACGGUUACAGUUUCUGCGAUUUUGAGAAAGGCCUCGAUAUCACACACGUUGUUGCCGUGGGUGUCUCAUGGUUUCCAGCUGCUCCUGCACUCAUAUUGAUGAAUACAGCCUUAGAGAGAUUUACUGCUUUCUUUUGUGGAUGGCUUUGUUCCUGCGUUGAUGUAUCAUUUCCAUUUCACCGUGGUCUGUGUGGUCAUCACGUUCUUCCUGCGUGGGAAAGCAGAAGCAAGUCUGGUGUACAGCGUGGAGCCAAGGAGGACAGCUUUUUCUCAACAGAAGCCCACAGGCAACUCAUGGCUGCAUUGGUGGUCCAGAGACUCUGGGAGGCUGGAGGAGGCUGCCAAAGAAUCUUCAGGGAAGGAGUCUCCAAGUGCACUAAUGGGAGUGGUGGCGGGGUCAGGAGAGUGUGAAGUUUGCUGGUGACAGCAGCAAGGUGUGCAGCACAAAGGAGACACGUAGGCUGCAGCCCCCACCUGAGCAGCGUCAGCACUGAGGCCAGGGUUUCACUUCUGUACCAGGGGGGAGUCUGGCAACACCUUCCUUCACAGCAGUUGCUCGAAAGACACAGACAAGCCAGGAUUCUGCCCCAAAUAAUAAUAAACACUGACGCUGUAGAUGUAAUGAGCCCUAGGACAGGCCUCCACCACACACACUGGAACGCCUCCCCCCAGGAAGAGAAGAGCUGCUCUGGUUCUCAUCACUCCCCUCACCCUAACAUGAGCCUCCUGGGCUGGUGUCUAGUCCUGAAGUUUAGUCAGUUAGCUCUGUUCACUUUGAUUAGUCCCAUGCUGAGGACAUUUGGGUGGGGAGAGACUUGGCAAUCUCUGGCAGACGCAGCAGCAGGCAACUGGGCUGAAGUGUAGGCUCAAGUUCUGCCCCAAACCCUCUCGAAGUGGCCUGGGAGAAAAUGACAAGCCAAGGGCAGUCCCUGACGAAGCUGUCCAAGGGCCAGUGUCACGGCCAUGCCAUCCUGCUCACAAUGCCAAUUGUUUUGUAAGAUUUCAAUGUUCUUUUGAUGAUGGACACAACACAAACACUCUGGAAGAGAUGAAAGGCGGAGCUUUUGGUUACUUACAGCUCCAAAAGAGAGCCAGCUGCCAGGCAGGGCCACACAGGGGACUCACCCAGGGACAACAGACCAGCACGCUGGGACUAUCUGGGCAGCUCGUACACGGCAAGCGGGGUGGCUUAGGUGGGCUUCAUGGGCCCCCUGGGAAUUGAUUCAUUGACACAAUAUUGCAGGCUCAGGAGGCUGGGAGCCAUCCCGGGUUGGUCUGGAACUUGACACCAGGCAGUUAGGGCAGGGGCAUGGUGGUCUGGAGAGAUGGUCAUAGUGGCAGCCCCCUAAGGGAAGGGGUUGGAAUGUGGACUUAACUGCUCAGGAAAGUAAACUAACUGGCAUCUAACCAGGGCCUCAAAACUGGUUCAAGACAGUAUAUAUAUAUAAUUUUAUUACAACUGGUUCUGGUGGCAGAGGCCUCUUCCAGGCCUGAGGAAGUAGCACCUCAGCACCCUGGACCUGCCCGCCCCUGCACACCAGAGAAGGACCCCAGGUCGAGCCCAGUCCUGGUGAUGCCAGUCUCCCUGACGGUUGUUAGCUCAGGCGUGGGCAUGCUACACAGCCCCUGCCAAUGAUAGAGUUGAUCUGCUCGGUUUCCACUGGCACAUUUACUCUAUCUGCAUCAAGCACCUGCUCUUUUCUAGGCACUAUUGUGUGAACAGGGAAUUCACACGGGAUAGAACAACAUCCCUUCCUCAGGGAGCUUCUGCCCUAGAGAGAGAGCUCUGCUGUGGGUCAGGGUGUUUUCAUCGACUCCCACUCACCCUGCUGGUGAAGGAGGGAUUCUCAUCCCAGGGUUAUGGGGAUGGCCCAACACACAACGUUGACACACUGGACAGAAGACACAGACAAAAGUUUCUGAGGCUUAUAUGCCCACAGCCUGGGAGAGGAGGACGCAGGGCCCAUGGGAGCUGCGGUGGGAGCAGAAGGACCUGGCACGGGCUGGGGGAGGCGGACUUUGCAGUACUAAGAGGAUGCGGUGGCCCUAGUUUCUAUCUGAUGGUGUGAUUGGCUUGUUUGAAUAAUUCUGUGGGCUGAUAGGGAAUGGAAAUGCAGGGACAAGCAGGAACUGUGACCGGCCCCCUUGAGAAGGAGGGUAGAGGUGUGCAGAGGGGAACUUGUGGUUAGGCCAUUCGAGGCCCUCCCGGUUUCACCAGAUGUCAAGGCAGUGCAUAAUGUCAUUAAUAAUAUUAGUUUUAGGCUUUACACCACAGAGGGCUGCUUCUGGGAUGUGGCUUUUUUAUGUCCUUAGGCCUUAUUGUGUAAAGAUAUGAUGCUUGGAGCUGCCACAGCCUCUGUGAGAAGAUGAGUGAAAAGCCACAGAAAUAACAGAGAGGCUGACUCGGGCCCUGACUAGGGUGGAGCUGCUGAAUUACUCAGUCUGGGGGUGCCGUGCCUCCAGCCUUUCCAUUUGUGGGAUGUGGCACUCAGUUCCUCAUUGUUUAGGCCUCUCUGGGUUGGGAUUCUAUUCCUGCCACUCAGAAGUAGCCUGGUCCUGUGCUCAUACUGUGUGAUCCUGUGUGUAUCAGUGGCCCCAGCUCCACGGUGCUGAGGAGCACAGAGCAGAUGUGGGUUUCUUCUGUGUUUGUGCAUUUCUCUGUGCAGAUGUGAUGAUAUCUCGUGUGCAUUCUUUUUUUUUUUUGGAGACAGGGUCUUGCUCUGUUGUUCAGGCUGGAGUGCAGUAGCACAAUCAUGGCUCACUGCAAUCUCGAACUCCUGGGUCCAAGUGAUUUUUCCUUCUCAGCCUCACGAAUAGCUAAAACUACAGGUGCAUGCCAUCAUGGCUGGAUAAUUUUAUUUUUAUUUUUUCGAAGAGACAAGGUCUCAUUAUAUUGCCCACGCUGGUCUUGAACUCCUGGCCUCAAGCGAUCCUCUCACCUCCGCCUCCCAAAGUGUUGCAAUUACAGGCAUGAGCCACUGUGCCUGGCCUGAUGUGCAUUCUAUACAAAAAAAAUAUAACAAGCCCCAAUGUCUCAUUGGAGGGUAACAGGAGGAGGAGUCUAUGGAGGGGCUGGCCAGUCCUGGAGCCAGAGUGUGGGCCUCUCAGGAGGGAUAUCCCACCUGGUCUGCAGGACUGGAGACCAGCAGGGCUGAGGUGAGUCCUGGGCCACUCUGGCAGCAGGGGAGGUCAGAGUCUGACCCCCACUGGGGAGACAGAUAUGAGGAAGCUUUAGAAGAGGGGAGCAUUCCCUCUGUUGUUGUCUCUGGUGACCUGAAGACCCAUCUAAGUGCUGACUGAUGACCAAGAGAACAAGGUGCUGGUACCCGUGACCUGGGCCACCAUGAGCCACUGCACCUGAAGGUAGGGAGCCCCUCUAAAGGAUGGCAGCCUAUCUCAUGGCCAAUGAUAACUUACCUGUGAGCUUGUUGGGGCUUGGGGGCUCUUCCUUGCAACCAAUGACUUACACGCAAGGUUGCUAGUACAAGGAGCUCUUUGUCAGGCUUCUGGUUGGUGGAUAGAGUCAUCUGAAGGCCACUUCUGUCCUCUAAGCCCCACCUGCCCUUCUGAGGAUUACAGGAUGGGCAUGGCCACUUAUUGAACAUGUAUUAACUGCCAAAGGCUUUUUACUCGUGAUCUCUAAACCUUACAACCUUCCUUAUAAACAAAGGAAGUGAUGCUCAGAGAGGCUAAGUGACUUUCCUAAGCCCACACAGCAAAGAAAUAGUGGAGCCUGAUUUGAACCCAGGUUCCUUCUUCAAUGCAGAGCCUGCUCUUCCCUCUGGCCACCAUCCCGUGUAUCCAAUGCUUUGAGCAGUUGCCUCAGUGGCAGGCUGGGCUGUUACUGCUUCUCUGAGCCUCAGUCCCCUCAUCUGUAAAUUGGGAUCACAAGAGUUGAGAAGGAGGUGCCUGGUGCCUGGCACAAAGCAGCUCUUGACUACCGAUGCCAGCCCCUCUGCAUGACCCGCCUCUGGGCCUUUAAAAAUUUUGGCAGUGGCUCACGCCUGUAAUCCCAGCACUUUGGGAGGCCGAGGCGGGUGGAUCACGAGGUCAGGAGAUCGAGACCAUCCUGGCUAACAUGGUGAAACCCCGUCUCUACUAAAAAUACAAAAAAUUAGCCAGGCGUGGCGGCGGGUGCCUGUAGUCCCAGCUACUCAGGAGGCUGAGGCGAGAGAAUGGCGUGAACCCGGGAGGCGGAGCUUGCAGUGAGCCGAGAUUGCGCCACUGCACUCCAGCUUGGGCGUCAGAGAAAGACUCUGUCUCAAAAAAAAAAAAAAAAUCUCUCUCUAUAGACUGGAGGCAAAGAAGAGGAUGGAGCUAAUAAUGAAUGAUGGCAGCAUGGAGUCAAGCCCGAGGUCUUAGAGAAAGUCACAGAUGACCGCGUCCCGUCAUCUGCCCACUGCAGAGCCCAAGGCACAGAAGGCCUCUCGCCGUCACAGCUCCAAGUGCUGGAGCUGGAGGCACACAGGCGGCAGUGUGUGAGGGGCAGGGCUGCCAAUGGGCUGUAGGCUUUAUGGCCUAGUGAGAGACCCUGGAAUGUAAUCUGGGCUUUCAUCGCUCUGCAGCUGGAGUAGGGCAGGUCACUGCCAGCCUGCGCUGGGCUGGACUGCUGGUCACCAGGGACCUCUAGACCUCUGUUCACAGCAGACUGCCAGGCCUAGAGCCCAGGGAACCCAAGGCAGGACUGAUGGAGUGGAGAGGAGGGAAAGGCGAGGCCCCCACUCCUGCAGCUCUGCAGGCUCCAGCAGCAUUAGAAAGGAAAACUGUUUUAAUGGCCUCCUCGAGGCGGAGGGAGUGGUGUUUAACAGGGCCUGAGGAAUGGGCCCUCAGUGAGCUCCAUGAGGCCUACUGGGUGCUGGAUCACAUGGCAUGAACACCAGAGCCCUCUACCAUCUGGAGACUGUGGCAAGUUCUUUCAUGCUCAUGGGUGAAGCAGGCAUCCUGGUGGUACUUCCCCGUGGGGUGGUUGAGGGGUUAAGGGAGGCUUUCCUGUCCUGAGCCCACCCCAUAUGAGUGGCUACUAAACGACGGCCUCAGCAUUCGUUACCCCUGGGAGGGCCUCCUGUCUCUCCUCUCUCUGCAUAAGCUGCCCCAGCCGCCUUCCCACCCAGCCUCCGGGCUUCCAGCCCCCAGACCUGGGAGACAUAAAUGUCUGUUGUUUCAGCCACCCAGCCUGUGGUAUUUGGUUACGGCAGCGUGAGUUGACUAAGACCCAAGGAGAGAGCCCACACCCCCGAUUUCCACUGGGAAGUGGCGGCAGCAGCACUCAGAGCUCUCAGGUCUUUGUACAGCAGUCCCUGGGCCAAGUCUUGCUGUAGAUGAGCUCCUAUCAGCUCUACCAGGGCAGUCAUGCUGGCAUGCCCACUGUAAGGAUAAGGAACCAGAGGUACAGAGAGAUGGAAAAACUUGCCUAGAAUCACAACGGUUAGAAAAUGGCAGAGGAGGGAUUUGCACUUUUGGGCUCCAGAGUUCACCGUCUUUUUUUGUUUUUGUUUUUGAGGCAGGGUCUCACUAUGCCGCUGAGGCUGCAGUGCAGUGGCGAUCAUGGCUCAGUGCAGCCUCGACCUCCCAUAGCCGGCUAAUGUUUUUUGCAUUUUUUUUGUAGAAAUGGGGUUUUGCCAGUUGUUGCCCUGUCUGGUCUCAAACUCCUGAGCUCGUGAUCCUCCUGCUUCUGCUUCCCAAAGUGCUCAGAUUACAGGUGUGAGCCAUGGUGCCCCGCCCAGAGUCCAGGGUCUUAACUACAGUGUUUGAUUCUGCCCCAAACCAGCUCAGUUGCCUCUGGGUCUCAGCAAUUCCAUUUUUAAACUUGUUAUUGAUAUACUCACAGUCUGUGAAAUUUACACAACACAUAAUUAUGUGAACACACUGCCAGGUCGCCUUGCAGGGCCAUGGAAGGGACUGGCCAGCAAGGGCCCAGCUGCUGAGGCUGCACAGCCCCACAGCAAAACGUCCCUGCGCUGAGCAGGGUUCAACCUUACAAAGAAUUGAAGAGUAGAUUUAUAUAAUAAUGGGAUACGUGAUGAAUUUUGAAAUUAUUGCCCAGAUAAUGAAACUUUGGAGCAAUAUAUAAAGAUUGUGACCCCUUGGGUAGGCAGGUGUUACCUUGACUAGACUUGCCCUCUUUAAGUUAUGGUUAUUCUUUUUAUUCUUUAUUCCACUUCUUUGCCCACAGUGCUGUGGGCUUUAGGGUCACUCUGGCUUCCUCUGACCGGCCCUGGAAAGGAGGCCUCCUUCAUGGCACCUUUUGUUGUCCUUGAAGAAAGUUUUUGUUACAGGAAAGGUUAACCAGAGGUUACUCUGCUUUAUAGAGUUAAUAUCUCACUCAUUAAACCCACACAUUCAAAAACCCAGUUUUUACUCAGGCAUUUAAUUUCAGCCAGCAAAUUGUAAAAUUGUACGUGUAUAUUUUGAAAAUUGUACAUAUUUUGUCUAACAUUUUUGGCAAUCAUUUUAAGGACAACUUUAUUUCUUAAUAAUUUCUUAAGGAUUAAAUUCCCUUAAACCUUUAGAAUUGUAUUUAUAAAUGUAAUAGUUUCUGUUUUUCCUGUAAGUAUUCUAAUUAUUAGAAUUAUUUAAAAUAUUCCUGAAUAUUUAAACAACUUAUGAAUCCAAUAGAUUAAAUCUAGAAAUAUGGUGUAUUUUGAGUUCUCUCAAGUCUUCUAUACUGCUUAUAAAUUUAGGACAUUUUAAGUAAAAAUCACAAAGCUCAGCUGAUGACAUAUUUUAAAUUAGAAGCAAAAAAGGUGAAUAUUUACUCCAUUAGGGCUAAUUUCUUUUAAACUUGAUGAAACACCUAGAAUUUGUAAACUAUGUGCAAACUUACAUGAAAUAUUAUUAUUUUGGGUUUGGUUUAUUUAAUAAUUCUCUACUUUAUUCUAACCCUCCCUGGGCCAUGGUGACUCAGAGACAGGGUCAGUGCACAGGCUGGGCCCAUGGAGAGCAGGGCAUCCAGAGCUUGUCAAGGGCUGCUGGCCAGAGCCUGCUCCCCUCACUGCUCUUUAAGUGACUGUAACAGAAACGGGUGGCCUUAAGCCAAGCUGAGCGGGGGUUUCAUUACACCUGCCUUGUAGGGAUUCUGGGAUUUGUCAUGGGGACACACUACAAUGUGUACCUACAAUAAGAUGGAAAGAUGUUCAAUUACACUCUAUACACAUAUACACAUGAAAGGGAGGGACCCCUUUUGCUUUGCCUGUGUGCAGUAGAUGCUUACACGGAGAGUUUGGUGUAGACAGACAGAGACAAGAGGCUCCGCAUUUCAGGGAGGAGCAGACCUCUACAGCGACCAAGGAGGAGGGCCAGAUACAACUAACUGGAAGCUGAGGAGCGGGUUCUCAACUUGACCCUCUGAGGGCACAGGAGACAUUACUGAGCAGGUGCACAGCUGUGCCAGAAUGAAAAUGUUCUGUGACAGAGACAAGAGCGCCUGCUGAGAGCGGAGCUGUCUCCAUGUGCAUGACCACAGCCACAGCCCUGUGACAUCAGGCAUGUGACACGCUUGCUGGCUGAUGAGGCCCAGAAAGGGCCUUUAGAGGUGGCUGCGAGGCAGCGCUGCAGUAGGAUACCCUUAUAAGGAAGCUUUUUGCCAGGACUGGGCUGGCGGCUGUCCUGGGAACCCCAAUCCCACAGUGCUUCUGGCUUUCCUCACCAUUAGCAUCUCCUUUCCUAGCAAAUAUCCUGAGAGCGCUUUGAGAUUGUGUUUUUCUCCUGGGGCAACCACCUGCAGAAUCUCCACGGAGGGGCUGGGAAAAUGCUUUGCAUGAUCCCUCAAAGCUCCCUUUCAUCGAGGGAGGAAAGGCUGAGAGGUGGGCCUCAGAAAGAGCUUCGUGGGGGCAGGAGCCAUCCUGGGGGUAGAAGAGGGGUGUAACUGGUCUAGUCCAUCCGAAGUAAGGGCUUUAAGGAGCCUGCUGGGAGAGUUUAACCUGGGACCCCCGCAGCAUGAGGGACAUAGAGACUGGCCUCAGACCCAGGCUUGGAUGAUCCAGAGGGUGAAGUCAGGCUGGCAGCCUGCUCUUAUGCUGGAGCCCAAGUGGGUCAUGGGAAAGAAGAGCCAAAGCGUUCCCAUUGACCAGAGGCCAGGUGAGAGAGUGAGGCGGCCCAAGGUGGUGGCAGCUCCUGUGGGAAGAGACCACCCCAGGGGCUGGAGGUGAGGCUGGCUGCCCAGGGGCCGAGGAAGGAGGGAGUGGCCAAUCUGAACAGAGCGGCCUUCUCCUCCUUAGGGUCUGUAGCCAAAGGUGCGCCGUGCAGCACCUGGAGUGGGGGGUGGUGGGGGAAAUCUCCGAAGGAGUCAGGAAAGCACCUCUGCCAGGGCCAGAUCCCAUCACAGGCAUCAGUGGGUGAAAGCGCUCCUGCUGCUUUCCUUUCUCCCUUUCCCGUCUCCAUACUGGAAGGGCUGGAAAUGGCUUUGAGGAGAAGGGGUGUGAAGAAGAGUUAGGCAGCCCACUGUGCCGCCCCGCCCUGGCUGCAGCAGGCUGGAGGGGGUUUAGGGGGUGAGGAGAGAAGGGGACUCAACACUGGAUCCAGUUUUUAUCACCCAAGAAUGAACAGAUCCCCUGCUGUGCUUUCAUCCAGAACAGGAACUGCCCUGGAAGAGAGCCCUCCUCCCAGCCCCAGAAGAAACCUCAGCUGUGUUCUUGUGCUGUGCGUCCAAGAGAAAGAUGAUCAGAGCCCAGCGGCUGCAUGCCUAAGCUUCCAUGCUCUAGUGGCCACAUUAGAAAAAGUGAAAUGGAACAGACAGAUACUUGCUUUGUCACCCAGGCUGGAGUCAGUGGCACCAUCUCAGCUCAUCGCAAACUCCACCUCCCAGGUUCAAGGGAUUCUUGUGCCUCAGCCUCCCAAAUAGUUGGGACUGCAGGCAUGCACCACCAUGCCCAGCUAAUUAAAUGAGUCUUUGUAUCUAAUUCCUAAAUUCUCCUCAUUCUGCUCCUUCACAUUUAAAUCGACCCCCAGACAGGAUCAGGACCUCCUGGCCUUCUUGGAGAUGUGGGCUCUAUGCAGGGAUGACAGAAGCCAAUGUCUGGAGCCCUCCCCCAACACUGCAGAGCUGGAGCCUGCUCAGAGCUCACAAGUCAUCAAGGAAAAUCCCCUGGGCCCUCAGAGAUAUGACCACUGGACCUACAGGGUUCUGACUAGGGCCAACCCCUUUGCAGAAGUCAGCAAUCCCUGGGAACCUAUGGGGGUGUCAUGUAAUACCUGCCACAUCAACUGACAAGUAGACAUCCCAAUGGCCAUGGAAAAAAUGUCUGUGCCAGGGCUUAGAUCCUCUGAGGCUCUAUAACACUGCUAUUAAAAUAGUCACUGAGCCUAAUAAAAAGUAUAAUCAUCUCCAUUUACAUCAUGAUGUGGAAUCCUGAAAUGGCAAUUUUUAGUUCUUGGUGAAUCAAAGUACACAGAUUCUUGAGAAGGACACAGCCCCUAAAGAGACUUGGGUCCCCUCCUGCAGUUGCCACCCUCCCAGGUGGCCAGUGCAGGCACAAAGAUCUGCCACUCGCUGCUUAAACCCCCACCCAUGGGGAGCCCCCCAUUCACUGUGGGAAGUCAUAGGAACUGCCAUGCCAGUGAGCCAGACCCGGCCCAGGCCCUGCGGUCAGUCACCUGCCACCUGGCUGCUGCUGUGCCUGUGAUCCUCUUCACGCUCUUCCCAGCCGACUCUCCCUGUAGGCUGCCCUCAACUUCUAGAGCGCCAGCCAGGGUGACUCUGGUCCAUGUGCUUGACCAGUGAUCAUUCUAGUAACUUUCUGGAGGUCCCACUUUCUAGGAGGCCCCUGGUAAGUCUCUGCCUUCCACUUCCAGCUGGGACCAGUGACCCCCUCACCUUAAGAAGUGAGGCCCCUGGCCCUGCCUCAUUCUGCGCCUGCCUUCCAGGUUCUUGAGAGCAGGAGGGCCUGGUCCAGGGCCAGGCACCCAGCGGAUGCUCAGCAGAUAUGUGUGCAAUAGAACUAAGCCUUCGAACUUUUGCUGAGCACCAUGGCUGUCCCAGCAGUCAUGUGUUCCCAGGGUUGUGCCCUUUCCUGAAGAUCUCAGCUUCUCCCACAUCUGUGUCUCAUGAAUCUACACCAGCAGAGCCUGGCUCAGCAGGGACCCCAGGGGAAGGCGCAGGCAUCUGUAAUCCCAGCACUUUGGAAGGCCGAGGUGGGCAGAUGGCGUGAGCUCAGGAGUUCAAGACCAGCCUGGGCAACAUGGCGAAACCCUGUCUCUACAAAAAAUACAAAAAUUAGCCGGGCAAGGUGUUGGGCACCUGUAGUUCCAGCUACUUGGGAGGUUGAGGCAGGAGAACAGCUUGAACACAGGAAGUGGAUGUUGCAGUGAGACAAGAUCAUACCACUGCACUGUAGCCUGGGCAACAAAGCGAGACUCCGUCUCAAAGAAAAAAAAAAAGAAGAAAAAGAAAAUGGACCCUGGGUUUGACGGGGACCUCAUGACACGACCUGCCCUCUCAGUGCACGAAAGUGGUCCAGGGGCUCUUCUUGAAUUUCCCCUCCGCUCUCCCUCUGUCCCUCUCUCAGAGGUGGUAGUGGCCUGGGAGGUCCUUGGAGGGGAUCUUUGCAUACCCACCAGUCCACAGCGAAGUAAACUGAGGCACAGAGGGAACGGCAUGUGCCCAGGAUGGGGGGUGUAGGUGCUCGCUGGAGCAGCCCCUUCUCGGACCCAGGGGCAGAAUUUCAUCAGUGGCUAGGGCCGAAUAACAGGACCCCGGGUGCGAGAAACGCCUGUGUAAACGCCUCUCAGAGGGCCCUGGAGAAGGAGGGUGGGAGCCGCGAAGUCAGGGCGCCCCUGGAAGCUUCUAGAGAUCUGGGCGUACAUCAGACAGCAGCGGCUGAAGAAGGAAACAGGCUGGCUUCUAAUAAUGUGCAGACAGUCUCGAUCCUUCUCCCGUAGCUCUGCGAGCCCAUGUUCCUGGCCACGGUCCCUCAGCCGCCCUGGAAGCCGCCGGCACCAGCCGGUGUUCUGCUUCAGAGCGGGCGCGCGGUGACCGGACUGACAAGGAGGGGCUUCAUGCGAAAGUCCCC